GGUCCGCUAGUGCAGCCGGGAGUAAUGCGAGAGAGCUCUUCGUGAGCUGCUACCAAGUAAACUGGAAGCUGCCGGUUCGAUUCCGGUGCGGAUCA